AUGAAGCCUAAUAAUAAACCAUCUAGUGUUGCUUCUGAAAUUAAAUUGAAAAGUGCAUGUUUACUUGCCACCAAAUCUGAUAUUGAUGAUCUAGAUUUCAGCAAAUCUGUUUGCUAUGCUUUUGUGUGCAAAGAGGUGUUAUUUUCUUUCGAGGAUGUACCUUCGUCUUUGCCUCCUACUGUCACUAACAUUUUGCAGGAGUUUGCUGACGUCUUUCCACAAGACGUGCCACUGGGAUUACCACCUAUUCGAGGGAUUGAGCAUCAAAUUGACUUAAUUCCCGGUGCAUCGCUACACAACCGUGCACCAUACCGUACCAAUCCAGAGGAGACGAAGGAGAUUAUGUGUCAAGUACAGGAGCUGCUCGACAAAGGUUAUAUACGCGAAUCUCUUAGUCCUUGUGCUGUUCCUAUUAUACUAGUGCCUAAAAAGGAUGGUACGUCGCGUAUGUGUGUUGAUUGUAGAGGCAUUAAUAAUAUUACUAUUUGUUAUCAUCAUCCUAUUCCUAGGCUAGAUUAUAUGCUUGAUGAAUUGAGUGGCUCUAUAAUAUUCUCCAAAGUUGAUUUGCGUAGUGGAUACCAUCAAAUUCAUAUGAAAUUGGGAGAUGAAUGGAAAACAACAUUUAAAACUAAGCUUGGUUUAUAUGAGUGGUUAGUCAUGCCUUUUGGGUUAACUAAUGCACCCAGUACCUUCAUGAGACUAAUGAAUGAAGUUUUACGUGCUUUCAUUGGAUGA
rnacentral:rRNA from 1 species